CCUACGGGAGGCAGCAGUGGGGGAAUCUUGCGCAAGUGGGCGAAAGCCUGACGCAGCCAUGCCGCGUGAAUGAUGAAGGUCUUAGGAUUGUAAAAUUCUUUCACCGGGGACGAUAAUGACGGUACCCGGAGAAGAAGCCCCGGCUAACUUCGUGCCAGCAGCCGCGGUAAUACGAAGGGGGGCUAGCGUUGCUCGGAAUUACUGGGCGUAAAGGGAGCGUAGGCGGAUAGUUUAGUCAGAGGUGAAAGCCCAGGGGCUCAACCUUGGAAUUGCCUUUGAUACUGGCUAUCUUGAGUGUGGGAGAGGUUAGCGGAACUCCGAGUGUAGAGGUGAAAUUCGUAGAUAUUCGGAAGAACACCAGUGGCGAAGGCGGCUAACUGGCCCAUUACUGACGCUGAGGCUCGAAAGCGUGGGGAGCAAACAGGAUUAGAUACCCUGGUAGUCCACGCCGUAAACGAUGAGUGCUAGUGUCGGCAUGNAUGCAUGUCGUGCGCNGCUACGACAUAAGACACUCCGCCGUCGGGAGGUACGGUCGGCGAAGAAGUUAAACGUAACUAAAGUAGUUAAGUUAGUACGGACGUUGAGACGUUAGCCGACGGACGACGACGAGGGAGGAGG
rnacentral:rRNA from 1 species